AUGAAGGGGGAUGUCCUUGGCCCCGUCCCAGGGGGAGCCAGGUACCAGGGGAGAGCUUUGGUUGGUGCCUUGGCCAGCCAUGCUCUGCCGUGGGUUCUGGCUGAGCUCCCAGCAGACGCUCCACAGACAAUACAGCUCCUUCCGACCCCAGCUGCACCCUGGAGGGCUGGGCUGGCAGAAGCCGGAGGUGGAGAAGCCCAGAGAUUCCGUUCUCUUUGUAAAUAUGGAGACAGUUUAAGGUAACAGUUCCUAAACCCUGCUUCUCCCUGCGGUGCCUUGCACUCCUCAGGGAUGGGAGAGUCCAACCCCGCAAACAGCGAGAGCGCAGCUGGGAGGAUGCGCUGGCAGGGCUGUGGGCUCUUACCCCACGGCACUUUCAUCCAGAGUCCUGUCUCUGAGCCCCUUCGGGUCCCGCUGAGCCGAGAGGAGAGUCCCAGGAGAGCCAGAUAUCCCCGUGUCCCACGGGCAGCCCCAGCCGCAGGAGCGGAGGUUUGCAGUCGGUUGCGCCGAGUGUCCAGGCGGUGGCACCUGUGGACUGCGGUGGCACCUGUGGACUGCGGUGGCACAUGUGGACUGCGGUGGCACAUGUGGACUGCGGUGGCACAUGUGGACUGCGGUGGCACAUGUGGACUGCGGUGGCACCUGUGGACUGCGGCCGCACUCGGGGCUCGGCCCCAUCCCGCCCUCCUGGGGCUCGCCCUGGGGACGCUGCUGGCCAGGUGAUGGUCACCAGGAGGAGGGAAGUGCCUACAGCAAGGUGAGCACAUGCAUCCUGCAUUGCUCCUUGGAGUUUUUCCCACUGCGGAAGCGCAGGGAAGGAGAUGGAGCUGCAGACAGGCCGGGAUAACCCUCUUGGCCAUCAGCUCCCGUCACGAACGGGUCUGGCACUGCCCUGUGCUGCUCUGCAGAGCUCUCCCCGAGGAUCCUGCCUCCACACCACUCCCUGAGUGGGGAUGCACAGUGGGAUUCCCUCGCUGCCAGCCUGGCUGUGUUCCCUGUGCCAUGGGAGCUGUCCCCAUCCUUCCCAACACAGCACCCUGCCUGCAGCACCGCUCCUUUCCACGGCCAGUGAGGAUGAGAUGCCAGGAUCAUGUUCCAAGUGAGGCAGGGUAUUCAUCAGGUCUCCAGGGGUAUGGCCAGCACUGAGCAGCUGCCUGAAAACGUGCCCAGGUGGCAGUGCCAGAGUGGCAGCUCCAGUGGCAGCACACAUCCUCCAAGCUGGGCUGGAUGCUCCCCUCCUGCCUGCCUUGAGGGUUCAUGGGGAGCUUCCUGCUAAACUGAAGGAUUAGGACAGGAACAUGGAUCACAGCAGUUCAGCUUGGAGCAUCCAUGCCUGGCUGCCUCCCACAGGCUGGCUUGUGGGCUGAGCAGGGAGGCCAUUUCCUCUUCUAAGGAAACUGUUACAGCUGCAAAAACAGGGUCUUUGCCCUUAAAGAGUCCCUUGAUCUUUCCUUCAAAUACCAUACUACUCUGCUCGCUCAGGGACCACUCACCAGCCAGAAGGAUGUUACAGCUGCACUUGGAUAUGUUCAGCAAGGCAUCACAGCAUUAGCUGUGCACUCUAGUUGAAACAUUCAUCCAGCUCCCAGAGCUACCAUCUCUCUUCUCUGGAGUCCUGGCAGUGAUCAGUCAUCGGGGGGAAAGUGUGUGGCACGGUGCCAUUUGUGGAUGUUGGCACUGCCCAGGUGGGACAUCUCACUGCUGUCAGCCUGCAGUGGUGUGAUCCAGCACUUGGCGCUGCAGGGAAGGGCUGGGCUGGGCUGCAGGACAUGCAGAUUGGACUGAAAGGGAGGGAGGACUGCACAGGUAGCAAGUUUAUGAAUGUUGGAUUGUGGAGUUUAAGCCGGCUGCUGCCUCUCGUGGUAAGUGAAAAAAGCUUCCAAAGGAUCAUCAUCAAUAAGCAUUAGCCCAUGGGAUGGAAACAGCACAGGGGGGGAGCCCUGUAAUGCCAGGAACGUGCUCCAGUCCCAGGGAAGCCUGCCCCCUUGCAUCCCUGCACAGCAGGGAGUGCAUCCUGUCCCUGGCUGGGCAGGAUGGGAGGCCUGGCAGCCAGAGUGGCACAGCUGAUGUCCCAUUCCCGACCUGUGCCACGACCAUGGAAUGAAUCACCCCAUCUCUCUUUGCACACACAGUGCUGCCCAGUGGACACCCAGCCCCACGGGCUCUGGAGUGGGGGAACUCAGGAGAGCAGCCCUGAGGAGGGUGAUGGGCACCAGUGGGAUCCCCAAGGCUGGGACAGGCUGAGGGGUGCAUGGAGUGUCCCAUGCCAGUCCAGCUGGGGACUGCAGGAUCCCGAUCCCAGGUCUCAUCCGACUCCAGGGGUCUCCAAGGGCUUGUCCGUGAUUAACGGCUGGGCUGCGCUGUGGAUGAGCCGCUGUGUUUGAUGUAUGGAGCAGAGGCGGCCGGGGAUUUUCCUCCCCUUCUGGGGUUAAUCCUCCCCUGCCUAUCGCAGCCCUUUGAUUGCAAAGCCCUGCAGAUAAACCUCCUUAGUCACCAGCGGACUGCAGGCACCCACCGAGGAUGGGGGCAGCAGCGUGAGCUGGGGAGAUGCAGGAUUUGGGAGCUUUCCUGCUGCACAUGGCAACUGUGGAGUGUCUGCUCCUUGCAGCUUGCAAAAGGGGAGGAAAGCGCUUUUCUUUUGAUUAAUCCUGAUUAAUUCUGCUUAUUUAACUGGAGAUCUAAAGUAACAUGAAAAGAGCCACUAAACCCCAAACGAGCACCACUCCCCAGCCUCUCUGGUCGAAGGAAACCUUUCCAAAGUCGGAGAGCUUCAACAAAUCAGGAACACACCCGUGAACAUGCGGUUUGGGAUAUGGCAAUAGCCACACCACUCUGCCGCUAGCCCCAGCCAGUUUUCAUCACGCACAGGCAGCCAUAAAAGCCAGCCUAGAACAAGCAGCGUUGUUUUUGCAGGAGUGGUCGAAUUUUGGAUUUUAAUAAGCCUCAGCCUCCACAUAAUUUUUCUCUUUAAAAAGCCAAAAGGCACCAACCCAAAAAAAGACUUAGAAAAUAGCUUGAAAAUUCCUGUAAAAUAGCUUGUAAGUGUCUAAAAGCUGCCGAGCUUUGCUCUCCUGGGCUUAGAAAUGCCACCUCCAGAGCAGAGCCACAGGGGGAGAGACGGCUUGGGGAGAUCUCGCUGCUCCCUGUCCCAUUGCAGGGCAGGAGCUGCUGAGGGGACAUUGAGUGGUUCAGGCUGUGCUGUGGCAGAGGGAUGAAUACUUUGGGUCAAACCUGUCCAGCCAGGACACACAGUUAGGAAGCACAGCUGCUGGAAUGGGGACAGCCAGGCAUGCAGGACAAGGAUGUCCUUGGUGCAUGAUGCUACUGUGUGUCCCCUGCCUGAGCAUCAAGCUCAGGGAAUUAAAUCCCUUCUAAGACCCACAACUGCAUCUGACUGCCCUGCCACAGCCUUGUCCAGCUUGGUUUUAAAACACCCAUGACAUAACCUGGCCCAGUCUUGACUGUCCUACAGUGACUGAAUCAUUUGUCUUAAUAUCUGACCUCUGAGCUUUCUCAUUGCAAAGUUGAUUACAUUUUGUCCCAACUUCAGCAGACCCUGAGAUCAAUUCAUCACUGCUGUCUCAGAAGUCCUGGGUUUUUGUCAUGUCUCUCUGCAUUUCCAGCUUUCUAGAGAAAACAAACCCCAUCUCUUUGGUCAGGUUGGACUAUCCACUUUGUCAUUCUUGCUGCUGCACUGACUCCUCUGAACAUCUGCAUACCUCUGUGAGCUGGCAGCCCAGAGCUCUUGGGGGUUCACUUUGAUCAGUGUUCAAAGCAGGGAUCCCAGCGCCCUGAGGACCACCCUAGGUCAUGUUCUUUGCCUACAUACUUGAGUGCACACGUGAGCUGAAGCCAAAUGAGGCUUCUCAGCCCUUCAAACCUUGAAGUCGAGCCAGGAUGUCCCCCUGCAUCACAUGUGGAACUGGAGGGACCAAGCUGCCCACAUGUUCCAGGCUGAGGGGUCCUUACACCCUCACUACCAAAUGCACACUCUGAACAUCUGCACACCCAGAACCACACACUGCCCGUUCAGCUUUUCAGUCAAGGAUUCUCCAACCCAAAGGUGGAGUGAGCCAUCCCAGAUGGGGAGGAUGCUGUACUUCUUGACUUUACUGUUCCCAGUGAAUAACAUCCCUCUCAUUUGAGGUCAGCAGAUUUCCAGCUGCCCAGACUUUAAUUCUGGGAACAUAACACUUUUCACCCACCCUCCUGCCAAUCAUCCUCCCCUUCCCCCUGCUCUAGGAGUUAAAGAAAGAUCCACCGGACAAAACAGCUCGGAGCCGGCAUCCGAGCAAUUAGAGCAGUGUUUUCUGCCAGCUGCUAGACUGCUCGUCACCAAUCUGAUGGGUAGACUAAACAGCAAGGACCUGGGCUGAUCCCCCUGUGCUGUUCUGGCCUGGAAGUGGGGGCAGCCGGGAGAGCGCAAUGGUUUGCAUCAAAACUGGCAGCAGCGUCCUGGAGGAGAAGACCGAGGGAAUCCUCUGGCUGCUUAACUGAGGUGGGUGGGAGGAGGUGGAGAGAGACCUGAAGGGACUCUGGAGGAUGGAGCCCAGGCUGUGGGAAGUGGGGAGCCCCUGGAUUGGGAUAACUUUCCUCCCUUGUGGCAGUCCAGCUUUGUGUCACCCCCAUUCUGUUGCCAAACCUGUGUCCAAGCCCAUCAUGCCAAGCUGGAGCUUCAAGGGUGAUUCAUUUUUUUUCCUUUCAGUUGCCCAAACUCUUCUCUUCCUCCUGCUUCACAGACAGACAACAGUUUCCCCCAGGGGCCGGGGGGCUCAUCUGGAGUAGCUGGCACCAUCAUCUGGGAGUCAUUCCCUUAUCAGGCAGCUGAUUUUGGCUCUGGGGAGUCAGCACCUCUCAGGUGAGGAAGGCUCACAGCAGCUGCCCGUGCUGUGCAGUCAGGAGGGGUUAUCAGUCUGGCCACCCCCUCACCUGGCCAAGCCCCAUCAGACAGCAGCUCUUGGACACCCCUGGGCUGAUGGGGUGGAAAUGGGACAUUACAU